GCCGGCUUAGCUCAGUUGGUAGAGCAGCUGAUUUGUAAUCAGAAGGUCACGAGUUCGACUCUUGUAGCCGGCACCA
rnacentral:tRNA from 7 species